rnacentral:lncRNA from 1 species
UUUUGUAUUUAUCAUAAUAUAUAAGGUUUCCUGCAUAUAGUCCACCACCUGUACAUGUAUAUAUACCGGCCUAUGGCCUUAUGGAAAUACAAGUUGCUUUCCUAACAAUGGUCACAUUGCAAAUUACUCCCUCCGUAAAGAAAUAUAAAAGCGUUUGUAAAUGCUUUUAUAUUUCUUUAUAGGGGAGUAGAGUACACACGGAACAAUCACCAAACAUGUUGAAAACAAUCACCAUCCGUAACAGCACGGUUGAAGAGAACUUUUACAUCAUCAUCGCAUCUCCAUCCUCUCUGUUGGCCACGUGAAUCCCAAACCCCGCAGGCCGCAAUCAGUCAGACGAUAUCUGAACUACAUCAACUGAGCAUCACUUGUGUCUGAGUGCCCAAAGUGUUCUUCAUGUUCUAGCUCCUCACUGAAGUCACCACAACAAAUCCAGGGACCAGACCCAUGGGUACUCAACCGACAAAGUAGGCUCCAGAAUUCAUGUGUCUCUGAUCUUUCUCCAAGGCAGAGAUUUUCCCUCCGUCACUUCAAAAACCAAAAACACAAUAUGCAUGGUAGCGCUUCGGAGAAACCAAAACAGUACUUUGCCAAAACAAAAACAAAACCAACACAAUGCCCAUCACGGCUUACACCGAAACUACCAGUAAAACCCAUAGGCCUCACAGAAUCCCUCGUUUCAGUUCCAGAAAGGAAUAAGAAGGUGGGACGGUAUCGCCGCACAAGCCUUUCAGUUCCAGAAAGGAAUAAGAAGGUGGGACGGUAUCGCCGCACAAGCCACCACGGCAGUGGCAUCCAUCCAUCCCAAGACCACGACAGUUCCAGCAUAUGAGACUCAUCACGUCUGUUGGAGAUAGGAGACCG